UACGAAGGGGGCUAGCGUUGCUCGGAAUCACUGGGCGUAAAGGGUGCGUAGGCGGGUUUUUAAGUCAGGGGUGAAAUCCUGGAGCUCAACUCCAGAACUGCCUUUGAUACUGAAGAUCUUGAGUCCGGGAGAGGGAUGCGGAAUUCCAGGUGUAGCGGUGAAAUGCGUAGAUAUCUGGAGGAACACCGGUGGCGAAGGCGGCAUCCUGGACCGGCAUUGACGCUGAGGCGCGAAAGCUAGGGGAGCAAACAGG
rnacentral:rRNA from 1 species